AUUUAGGUAGUUUAAUAAAAAUGUUGAUUUGUGGUAUCAAGGUUGUAAUAAAUUUGUUACCCUAGAUU
rnacentral:tRNA from 1 species